rnacentral:rRNA from 1 species
GACGUAGGGCGCGAGCGUUGUCCGGAUUUAUUGGGCGUAAAGAGCUCGUAGGCGGCUUGUUGCGUCGGCUGUGAAAACCCAUGGCUCAACCGUGGGCUUGCAGCCGAUACGGGCAGGCUAGAGUUCGGUAGGGGAGACUGGAAUUCCUGGUGUAGCGGUGAAAUGCGCAGAUAUCAGGAGGAACACCGGUGGCGAAAGCGGCUCUCUGGGACGGUACUGACGCUGAGACGCGAAAGCGUGGGGAGCAAACAGG